UUCCUUCUUGUCUUAAUCCUUAACAG
rnacentral:piRNA from 1 species